rnacentral:rRNA from 1 species
UGGGGAAUAUUGCACAAUGGGCGCAAGCCUGAUGCAGCCAUGCCGCGUGUAUGAAGAAGGCCUUCGGGUUGUAAAGUACUUUCAGUCGGGAGGAAGGUGGUAAGGUUAAUAACCUUAUCAAUUGACGUUACCGACAGAAGAAGCACCGGCUAACUCCGUGCCAGCAGCCGCGGUAAUACGGAGGGUGCAAGCGUUAAUCGGAAUUACUGGGCGUAAAGCGCACGCAGGCGGUUGAUUGAGUCAGAUGUGAAAUCCCCGGGCUUAACCCGGGAAUUGCAUCUGAUACUGGUCAGCUAGAGUCUUGUGGAGGGGGGUAGAAUUCCAUGUGUAGCGGUGAAAUGCGUAGAGAUGUAGAGGAAUACCGGUGGCGAAGGCGGCCCCCUGGACAAAGACAGACGCUCAGGUGCGAAAGCGUGGGGAGCAAACAGG